rnacentral:tmRNA from 1 species
GGGGCUGAUACAGCUUUCGACAGACGAAACUUAAUAGAUUGAUUGGCGAGCCGUUGACAACGUUAAGUCAUUUAGAUGUAAAAUCUAACGUUUUAGCAACAGUCCGAAGCAUUUUUGCUUUCCCGACUUUUGCGCUAGUCGCUGCUUAAUUUCGGCGACCGUUUAUAUUUUCGAGCCAACAUACAAAAUAUAAGCGUUAUAAUCAUGUUGGUCGCAUUGUGUGUUUCUUAUUUUUCUAAGCAAUGUUAAAUUUUAAAAAAUGAGCUUGGUUGUGAUUUUUGUUUGUUUUCGUAACAAUCCGAGUAUUUAAAAAUUAACUAGGCUUCGUAGAUAAUCAAUUUAUUGUCGUUUGGACGCGGGGGCAGUACCCGCCAGCUCCACCA